ACACUAGGAGGGGUGGAGCAAUGCUGGGCAGUGAAGUUAGCCAUAUAGGCCAGGCCAUCAAAAUGGCAAUGCCGAUGCCCUGCCUCACAAGCCAGCUUCUUGAAGACGAGGUAGAGGGUCCCGCGUUUGUGGAGGUCCCGACAGCAACUACCCAGAUGUGUUGCAUGGCCGCUGGGGGACCUACCUAAUCUUCACCUACCUCUGCAGAAGAAUGCAUUGGAAGAACUCAUACAAAAGUUAGAUGUGGACAGGGAUGACAACACUGACUACAUGUGCG